rnacentral:rRNA from 1 species
UACGUAGGUGGCUAGCGUUGUCCGGAUUUACUGGGCGUAAAGAGCGCGCAGGCGGUCGUUCAAGUCGAGUGUGAAAGCCCCCGGCUCAACUGGGGAGGGUCAUUCGAUACUGAUCGACUUGAAGGCAGGAGAGGGAAGUGGAAUUCCCGGUGUAGUGGUGAAAUGCGUAGAUAUCGGGAGGAACACCAGUGGCGAAGGCGACUUCCUGGCCUGUUCUUGACGCUGAGGCGCGAAAGCUAGGGGAGCAAACGGGG